UACGUAGGGUGCGAGCGUUAAUCGGAAUUACUGGGCGUAAAGGGCUCGUAGGCGGCCAACUAAGUCAUACGUGAAAUCCCUCGGCUUAACCGGGGAACUGCGUCUGAUACUGGAUGGCUUGAGAUUGGGAGAGGGAUGCGGAAUUCCAGGUGUAGCGGUGAAAUGCGUAGAUAUCUGGAGGAACACCGGUGGCGAAGGCGGCAUCCUGGACCAACACUGACGCUGAGGAGCGAAAGCCAGGGGAGCAAACGGG
rnacentral:rRNA from 1 species